AACCAUCAGGGGGCCCUGCGCUGCUGAGGUCGGUGCUGUGGAGAUCCCUCCACUUCCUGGUUUACGGGCUGCUACAUGACAGCGCCGACAGCCCCAGCCAUUAGAAGAUUAGCCGGAUCGUUCACUGGCGUGCCAGGAUGGAUCAGGAAUAAAAUGAUUCCAGACACUCUAUAGAAAUCUAGGAGGUGGUGACAGAAUGCAGCAAGGAUGACGUCUUCUCUCUGAGGCAUCCUGCCCCCUGCCGUCUGAAAUGGAUGGCUCUACUGAAUCAGUCUGAAUCCACUGAGUGACAAACUCACAGGCACUACAUUGACACCUGUCAGUCCAUUUAUACAGGCCAGGGGUAAACAUCACUUGAUGAAGUCAAACAGACUGACUUCUAAGAGAUGCCCAAAGAAAGCUCAUAAAUAUGAUGGAAUGAAGUUUAAAAAAUGGACGGUGCAGACGGACAGACGUACUGAUGGAUGAAGGUAGAGACAGGCAGAAAUAUAGAUUUGCAGACAGAUAAAAGUGUGUAUGUCCUGAGAUCCUAACAUCAGAAACCUUGUCCUCAUUUGGGUCUUACCUCAGAAGAUGAAUGGAGCCAGUGUCAGUGUAAAAUAAUGAUUCAGUCUCUUAGUGAAAUUGUUCAUAUGAUGGAUCUGUGCAGCCAUUUACAACAAUGAAACCUGUCAUUUUCCCUCCCAA